rnacentral:ncRNA from 2 species
UAAUCAAUUCCAUAAGGUACUCGUAUAUUCUCAGUGAUAUGGUCUGAGCGUCUCUACCCGGUUCCCAUCGAAAGAACCGGACUACGAGUUGAGAAUGUCACGGG